GGCGCGUUGGUCAAGUGGUUAAGACUCCGCCCUCUCACGGCGGCUUCAGGGGUUCGAAUCCCCUACGCGUCA
rfam:Anaerovibrio lipolyticus strain 5S contig00297, whole genome shotgun sequence.